rnacentral:snRNA from 1 species
GGACUUCCUCGGUGGGCGGUGAUGCCGUGAUCACGUGGCUUCCCAGGGCAAGGCCUGUCCAUUGCCCUUCCACGUGCUGACCCCUGCGAUUUCCCCAAAGGUGGGAAACUGGACUGCAGAAUUUGUGGGGUAGGGGGUACUGCGUUUGUGCUUUCCCCAA